rnacentral:rRNA from 1 species
GAUGAACGCUGGCGGCGUGCCUAAUACAUGCAAGUCGAGCGAACGGACGAGAAGCUUGCUUUUCUGAUGUUAGCGGCGGACGGGUGAGUAACACGUGGAUAACCUACCUAUAAGACUGGGAUAACUUCGGGAAACCGGAGCUACUACCGGCUAAUAUUUUGAACGGCAUGGUUCAAAAGUGAAAGACGGUCUUGCUGUCACUUAUAGAUGGAUCCGCGCUGCAUUAGCUAGUUGGUAAGGUAACGGCUUACCAAGGCAACGAUGCAUAGCCGACCUGAGAGGGUGAUCGGCCACACUGGAACUGAGACACGGUCCAGACUCCUACGGGAGGCAGCAGUAGGGAAUCUUCCGCAAUGGGCGAAAGCCUGACGGAGCAACGCCGCGUGAGUGAUGAAGGUCUUCGGAUCGUAAAACUCUGUUAUUAGGGAAGAACAUAUGUGUAAGUAACUGUGCACAUCUUGACGGUACCUAAUCAGAAAGCCACGGCUAACUACGUG